rfam:Candidatus Pacebacteria bacterium CG2_30_36_39 cg2_3.0_scaffold_30_c, whole genome shotgun sequence.
GCCAGAGUGCUGGAAUUGGUAGACAGGCUAGUUUCAGGAACUAGUGCUUUUAAAACGGGCGUGUGGGUUCAAAUCCCUCCUCUGGCA